AAAUUCACACUCUGGGAAGAAUUCAUUGAUCUUUAUGGGAAUAAACUUUUGAAACAACUGAAUAAAUACCCGGUUAUUCUUGCUAGAAAAAUUGGCAGAUCAUCAUCAGGAUCGUCGAACAAAUUCAGUAGACUGUCGAACAAAUUUAGUACAACAAUCCAAUUCAAUCCUCCUUACCCACAAGCUGUUGAGUUAAAGUCAUGGGCCAAAACAAUUGAACCAAUGCUUAAUGCAUAC